UCUCUUUUGAUAUCUCUCUCUCUCUCUUGCCCUCUCUCACUUUCUUCUGUUGGUUGCAGGGGAUACUAAAUAAGAGAAAAUUGGUUGCUAUUGAUGCUGGAAACAGGGGCUAUCCUCCGAAUAAGAAUUUCACUUACAAUGACAAUGUAUAUUUCUUCUUCAAGUCGAGGGCUUACCAAGAUUAUGCUGCGGAAAAAUCCAGAGCUUAGGCAAGCAUCUGCUACAUAUACUAUCAUCUACUCCUAGACAUCCAAACCUCAUUGAGCACACCAGUGAGAAAGCCAAGGAAGCUAAAGAUAUACAAGUGAGA